AGCUUUAUAGUCAAAUAAUUAUGAUAUUAGACUGCAAUUCUAAAGUAGGUGAACACCUAAAGCUU
rnacentral:tRNA from 1 species